rnacentral:tRNA from 2 species
UGGGGGAUGGUCUAAUGGUAAGACGGCGGACUCUGACUCCGCUUAUCGGGGUUCGAAUCCCUGUCCCCCAGCCA